rnacentral:misc_RNA from 1 species
GAACGCACAUUGCGCCCACUGGUAUUCCAUUGGGCAUACCUGUUUGAGUGUCAGAAUCCUUCCAAUUAUCAAACUUUUAUAUAUCUAUAUAUGUAAAGAUGUUUGGACUUUUAUUGAGAAGAGUAGUAUUAUUAUAAUAUUACUUUCUUAAAAACCAGAAAUAUUUUGUUUUGGUUUUCUUCCAACUCAUUUUGUAUUUAAUAUAACAAAUGAGUGUGAAUGUUAACAAACAAACAAUAAUAAUACCUUUGGAUGACCUCAAAUCAGGUAGGACUACCCGCUGAACUUA